UGGGGAAUAUUGGACAAUGGGCGCAAGCCUGAUCCAGCAAUGCCGCGUGUGUGAAGAAGGCCUUCGGGUUGUAAAGCACUUUUAUCAGGAACGAAAAGUUCUCGGUUAAUACCCGGGAAUGCUGACGGUACCUGAGGAAUAAGCACCGGCUAACUUCGUGCCAGCAGCCGCGGUAAUACGAAGGGUGCAAGCGUUAGUCGGAAUUACUGGGCGUAAAGCGUGCGUAGGUGGUUUCUUAAGUCCGUUGUGAAAGCCCUGGGCUCAACCUGGGAACUGCAGUGGAUACUGAGAGGCUAGAGUGUGUCAGAGGAUGGUGGAAUUCCCGGUGUAGCGGUGAAAUGCGUAGAGAUCGGGAGGAACAUCAGUGGCGAAGGCGGCCAUCUGGGACAACACUGACGCUGAGGCACGAAAGCGUGGGGAGCAAACAGG
rnacentral:rRNA from 1 species